CAUAUUUAUUAGGGCUUUUUUGUAUUUGAUACAAUAUUUGAUUUGAUGUACAUUAAAUAUUAAAUGAAUGAGAAUAAGAACAGCCAUACCAUCUAUUUUCUUUCUGUUGUGGUUUUCAGUGGUUGAUGAUUUCCUUUGUCAGAGUGCAAGUUUAACACAUCACACGUAGACCAUAGAUGCUUUUAUUGUUUUAGUCACAAAUAGUUUAGCAGGAUAAGAAGACAGUCUAACUCACAAUGCCUGGAUUUUGUUAUUAUUAUGUUUGGCUGUUUCUGUUUGACAUUUUUAUGAGAGAAACCCUUGGUGUCACAGUGCAGACGGGCUUAUACAGUCGAGUUGAGCUGACAGGAGAAAACCUGGAUCAUCAUACUGAUCUGCUGUGGGUGGAAUGGGAACACCUAAACAAAUCCUGUCUUUGUCUUCGGUUUGUUAAAGAGAAUAGUAACACCACAAACUACAGACCAUGCUGUGGAAAAGCUCAUUACUAUUUGAACAAUAACACUCUCAUUUUAGAGAAUGUGACAGCACAGGUUGAAGGAUUCUUUAUGGAAAAAAACUCUAUUUUAUAGUGGAAUUACAAAACAAUUUAACAUUACAUUAUAUAUUGUAUAUCCACCAAAUGCAACAGGAAUUGCGGUCACCUGUACCACCAACACAUCAGUGUCUCUCACAUGUGAAGUGACCGGGACAUUUACACACAUAAUGUGGAAGAAAAAAGAUUCUCCCAUUCUAGAAGACAACAGACACUCAUUGAGCGAAAACAACCAGACUCUAAACAUCACCAAUAUGACCAGUUCAGAUGAUGGAAAAUACAGUUGUGUGGCGACAAAUGCAUAUGGAAAAUCAGAAACGCACACAAAUGUUAUCUGUGAGAAACGCUUCAUGCAUCGUGAAAACCCAACUUCAAACUUCGAACUGAUCCGAGUUUGCUUACAGCAUGUAGAUUCACAAUCAUAAGCAUUUUGGAAUUGUGUUGUUCUGUAUUAUUUAAAAUAACAUCACUGACUUCUAAAAUGUUUAAAGCUAUUCUGUGUACUGAAACUUGAUUCUUUGUAAGCAGGCGGAAAUAGAUAUAUUUUUAACUCUGUGGUUGAAACAUCCUUUAUCAUGAUCUUUGUUUGCUCCAAUGAUAUGUUUAGUAUCUCUAACUUUUCAUUCUCUCAUGACAUAUACAUUUGAACAUGAGGAAG